AUUGAACGCUGGCGGCGUGCUUAACACAUGCAAGUCGAUCGGUAACAGGUGUAGCAAUACAUGCUGACGAGAGGCGGACGGGUGAGUAAUGCUUGGGAAUCUGCCUAUUAGUGGGGGACAACCCGGGAAACGUCGGGCUAUACCGCAUACGCUCUACGGAGGAAAGCCGGGGACCGCAAGGCCUGGCGCUAAUAGAUGAGCCCAAGUCGGAUUAGCUAGUUGGUAGGGUAACGGCCUACCAAGGCGACAAUCCGUAGCUGGUCUGAGAGGACGACCAGCCACACCGGAACUGAGACACGGUCCGGACUCCUACGGGAGGCAGCAGUGGGGAAGUAUUGGACAAUGGGGGCGAACCCUGAUCCAGCGACGCCGCGUGGGUGAAGAAGGCCUGCGGGUUGUAAAG
rnacentral:rRNA from 1 species